UACGAAGGGAGCUAGCGUUGUUCGGAAUCACUGGGCGUAAAGCGCACGUAGGCGGAUUUUUCAGUCAGGGGUGAAAUCCCGGGGCUCAACCUCGGAACUGCCUUUGAUACAGCAAGUCUUGAGUUCGAGAGAGGUGAGUGGAAUUCCUAGUGUAGAGGUGAAAUUCGUAGAUAUUCGGAAGAACACCAGUGGCGAAGGCGGCUCACUGGCCCGGUUCUGACGCUGAGGUGCGAAAGCGUGGGGAGCAAACAGG
rnacentral:rRNA from 1 species